GUAUGCUGGGGGCGUGGCUGAGUACAGAGGGAAAGACAGUGGAAGUUCCUUUUAAAGGAGAUGUGGAACAUACCAUCCGAGACAUCCUAGGAGGGAUCCGCUCUACGUGUACCUAUGUGGGAGCAGCUAAGCUCAAAGAGUUGAGCAGGAGAACUACCUUCAUCCGAGUCACCCAGCAGGUGAAUCCAAUCUUCAGUGAGGCGUGCUAGACCUGAGCAGUUCUACCCUCCC
rnacentral:lncRNA from 1 species